UUCUUUGGAAUGUGAGGUCAAGUAGCGCAAUCCGUUAUCACGUUGAUAUUUUCUUUAAACUGGACGACCUUGCCGGUUUCAAUCCUGGAUUUUCGUAUACCAUUAGAAAACUAAAAUCGAUUAAUCGGACCUCAAACUUCCCUAGCAGGAGAGCUUUUGGCGGCUGUCGAAACAAUUUAAACAUUCCUACAGGAACGGUUGCAAAACGGAUAAAUUCACUACGAAACUUACCUGCGUUUUCGGUGGCAAGACAAACAAUUAAUCAAAAUGAAAACACAAAGCUCACUCCUCGUCUCGUAGAGCAAAUAUGUAAAUUCAGAAACUACGAUUUCUUAGUAACGAAGCGCACAACUUGAAACGCUUCUAGAUACCGGGUGUUCAGCAAAGCUGGCCUACUGCACAAAUAUACGGUAUGGUCGUAACUUCCGAUAUGAAACCUCUCAAUGUGCCAUAAAUACAUAGUACACUAAGUGGAUAAGUAUUAGGAACUCCAAAAUAAAAAAAAUUGAAAAGACACUCAUAAUCAUAGGCUAAACAUGUUUAGUUACACUUUGUUGAUUUUGUGUUGAUAUUUUCAAAUAAAAGGGAAGCUUCAAAUCUGUUAAUUUAGUUUAGAGUAACAUUUUUUGGGUAUGAAGUGAUUUGAUUGCAACCGUGUGAUUUCAGGGUGUCAGAAAUUUAAAAAUGAUUGAUUUGUUGAAUUAUGUCAACAAAAAAAAAGGUUUAGAGUUGUGGAUAAAUUAAUGUCUUCAAACUGAUUGUUAUGAUUGCCGCAUAUUAAUGCAAAGUGCAAAUGCAGAAAAUCGCAACACGACAAACGAAUUACGGGACGCAGAUAUUGUUAAAAUUUCCAAUAAAUGACCAAAAGCUGAACGCGAAAAUUAAAAGAAAAUUUUCAAAUUUAAUUACACAAUCGGUAAAUGUAAUUAGUCGUUAUGCAACAAAAAUGUCCUGUUAUGAAAAGCAUUCGAAAUAGAUUUUAAGUAAAAAAAGGACGCAGUCGCAAUUGCUAAAAUUAAAUUAUAAAACUACGAAAAUGUAAACGUUUAGAAUUAUUUGCACGUAAUUCUCUCAAAAGCUAUGUAGAACACUGGCAUUUUUAGCACAGAACAACGUUCUUUUUAAUGGAUUUAACAAGGAAACUGAGAAAUUUAAUGAUUGUUCCUAUCCGAAUAGUGUAACGAGUAAAUUCGAUUCAAUUAACCAGUCUUAAAAGCGCUUUCUAAGUUAAAAAAUUGUAGAAAACGAUAACUUUUACUUUUUGCUAUUUUAACUUGUUGGUGUUGUUUCUCUUGCAAUAAUCGUAAUUUUGUCGCUAUAAUUGCAGAUUCAACAUUUCACGCACGGUGGAUCACUUUAAGUUGACUCCACUGAAGAAUGAUAUACGAGGCAGCAAUUGAUUUCUUUCGGGGUUGGUGUAAAGGAAAACCUAUUCUUCUCAUAUUUUUAAAAUUGUUGUAUCUUUUUUCUGGGCCUUUCCUUUCGCAAUUUAAUUUAAUUAGCAAUGUAGGUCAAAGCAUAAGAAAGCUCCUUUUGACAUAUCCGUUAGUUAUGAACCGAAUUGCAUAAAAUUCAAACUGGGCAUAGCUAUAGCCAUAUAAUACGUAUAGUGCGGGACUCCGCUAACAACUCGAAGCUACCCCAAGAUGCCGCAAGCACCAAAUAUGACUUGUCUGCAAUAAAAGAGAUAUGUACCUAAUGGGAAAGGGUGGAUAUGAAACUGCCAGAGUACCGUACUGAAGAAAGAUUGGAUUUCUUUCGGCCGUGGUAUAAAACAUUGAUUUUUAUCGUAAUUUUAAUUUGUUUGUACCUUUUCUGUGCUUGUCUUUUGCAAUAAUUGCAAGGUCUUCCUUGUAAUUGCAGAUUCGACAUUUAUAAGCACUUUGGAUAUCAAACUGCGAACGGUAAAGAAGCAUCUUCGAGGAGUGGUAUAAGAAAAAUUAUUUAUCUCUUAAUUUUAACAUGUUUUUAUCUUUUGUGUGUAAUAAUUGUAGUUUUUUCCUUGUAAUUCCAGAUUCAACAUUCAUUCCUACGGUGCGAAUAUAAAACAGUGGAAGAACGCCACAGAAAACGAAUCUGCCAAGUGUAAUUGGGAUUUUUGUCUUGGAUAGUACUACGGAAAACUUAUUUUUUUAUAUCUAUGUUUUUCUCUCUUGCAAUAAUUUUAAUUUUGUCCCUAUAGUUGCAGAUUCCACAUUUAUUUGCACGGUGGAUAUCAAACUGCGAUAAUGGACCACUGAAGAAAGAUAUACGAGGGAGAUCUGAAUUUCUUUCUGGGGAAAAUCUUUUUUUUUGUAUAUUUUACUUACAAUUGUAAUUUUUUUUACAAUUGCAGAUUGUAACGGGUGGUCGCUACAAAGUACUUUUUUCUCGAAUUUAAAUUUUGGUAACCAUAGGGAAAUUUCCGCAUGUACCACUUCAUAGUGAACCGAAACCAAAUUACGUUUGGAAAUAAAAGAGGGACAGCAGCGUGUGCAUUUUUCGAUAAGAAUGCAGGUUUUGAAGACCAAUUUUAGUUAAAUCGUUUAUGCGGGAAUUAGAGACGGCAGAUGAGGUUGGUUUUUCAGAGAGUUAGCACUUAAAUUUCGGGGUGAGAAUUUUAGUAAUUCCCAUCUACUUGCGAUAUUUUUUAAAUUUAGCUAAAUUCAAGGGCGUCAAGUGACCGUCAGAUUACCGAUUAAAUUUUCCAUUGAAUUUGGAAGUUUGCCUAAUAAAGCAAAUAAAUAAAGUAGUGAUCGAUUCACGCGAUUAAUAAUUUUCUGUACACAACGUCAUUUGUUAGGAACCUUAGAAACAAUUAAAUGGGUGAUUUACUCACAUCGCAAAAGCUUAAUCAAUGGGAACAAAAUGUUAAGUUCAACACAGCGGAAUGUUGGCGUUUUAUUCCAGCGCAUAACAAAAACUAUCACCCAUCAUUUUCGCAAAUUUGGAGCUGAUUUGUUGGAGUUCGAAAUACUUAUGGACAUACACCACGAAGGGGAGCGGUAUAUUUUUGAAAAGAGAGAGUUCCGUCGAACCAGGACGUUAAUUUUGAAUUUAAGAUCUUAGAAGAAUAUAAGAGGCCAAACUUCCACAACGAAAGAGGUAUAACAACAAGUGUAUUAUUGAGCUAGCCGUGGAAACCAUAAAGAUUAAUUGUUUAUUAUUUUGUUUUGUAUUCUUUUAUGCCAUUGUAAAUGUGACUAAACCAUUACAAGGUUCGACAUUUAUACAUGGAUGAUGGAUAUCAAACUGAGAAAGGGCGCCAGUGAAAAAGGAAACAUAUUUUCUAAUGAUUUUAACUUGUUAGUGGUGUUUAUCUUGCGUAUUUUCAAAUUGCAGAUUCGACAUUUAUCCGCACGGUCGAGGACGAAUAGCGAGAAUACGUCACUGUAAAAUGAUCUACGAGGGAAAAUUCAAUAUCUUUCGGGGGCGGUAUAAAGGAAAAUCUUUUGUAUCUUUUCUUUUGUAAUAAUUGUAAUCAUUUUCUAAUAAUUAGAGAUUCUUACACGCACGGUGUAUAUCAAACAGCGUAGCUACGCUAAUAAAGAAGUAUCUACUUGGGGGAAUUUAAUUUCUUUCGGGGGUGGUAUAAUUGAUUUGUUUUUCUCAUAAUUUUAACUUGUUUGCGUCUUUCUGUGUAUCCUUUUCUUGCAGUAAUUGUAAUAUUUUCCUUAUAAUUGCAGAUUCGACAUUUUAGGUAUGCGCCUGGUGGAUAUCUAACUGCGAGAAUACGCAACUGAAGAAAGAUUAGGGAGAAUGGGAUUUUUUCGGGGGCGGUAAAAAGACCUUUCUCAAUUUUAAUGUUUGUGUGCCCUUGCUCUUGUAAUAAUGGAAAUUUUUUUAUUGUUAUUACAGAUUCGACGUCAUGGGUGGAGAUGAAUCUGCCAGAAUACGCCAUUGAAGGAGGAUUGGACUUCUUUCGGGGGUAGUAUAAAAAAACUGAUUGUUAUCGUAAUUUUAAUUUGUUUAUUGUGAAGCAUAUGUUAAAUUGUCAUUUUAAUGGGUUUGAAUGAGUCUCUUUUAACCAGUAAGAAUUAACAAAUUAAAUUAUCACUUUAUUAAGGCCAGUUUCACAAACGACUGAUGAUCAGUCCUGGUAGUUGGUCGGACUUCCGCAAGUUAAGGGCUGGAAAAAACAAUUUUAUUACUGAGCUAGCCGUGGGAAGAAUAAAACUAAUUGUUCUUUUGGGAUUUCUGCCAGUGCCGUAGAGAUUUAAUUUUAUUUUAUUCAAGCGGCGUCUGCAACCCUUGUAAAUGUAACUAGCCCGUUACAAGAUUCGAAAUUUAUAUAUGCACGGUGGAUUUCAAACUGAGAAAGGGCGUCAGUGGGAACGAAACAUAUUGUUUCUCAUAAUUUUAACUUGGUUGUAGUUUUUCGUUCUCUUGCGGUAAUUGUAAUUUUUUUCUAAUUGUAGAUUCGACAUUUAAGACCGGUAGAUGUCAAAUAGCAAGAAUACGUCAUUGAAGAUGAAUCCACGAGGGAGAAUUGGACUUCUUUCGGGGGUGGUAUAACGGAAAAGCUAUUUUUCUCAUAGUUUUAACCGCUUGUAUCUUUUAUGUGCCAUUUCUUUUGCAAUAGUUGUAAACCUUUCCAAUAAUUACCUACAGAUUUGACAUUUACACGUGCGGUGUAUAUCAAACUGCGAGAAUAUGCUACAACAGAAGUAUCUACGAUUUUUCUCAUAAUUUUAAUGUGUGUUUUUUUGUGUGUUUUUCCUCUAGCAAUAAUUUUUUCCUUAUAAUUAUAAGGAGGGAGAAUUAGAUUUCUAUCGGGGUUGGUGUAAAUGAAAAGUUAUUUUUCUUGUGUAUUUUUCUCUUACAAUAAUUGUAAUUGUUUUAAUAAUUGCAGAUUCAACAGUCAUCGUACGGUGGACAUCAAAGGAACAAGGGAUAAUAAAAUUGAGUCUCUUGCGGGAGUAUAGUUUUAACUUUAAAUCUAAUUUUUUUCUUGUAAAUUGCAGAUUCGAUAUUUAUUUGCACGGUGGGUACCCAAACUGGAAGAAUGUGCAACUGAAAAAAGAUCUACGAAGGAGAACUAAACAUUUUUCUAGGGUGGUAUAAAGAAAGGAAAACCUUUUUCUUAUAAUUUUUUUGUGUUUGUGUUUUUUUUUGUUUGGUUGGCUUGAACAUAUCUCUUAGAUCCUCUUCAUCAAUAAAUCUAAUCUUUUUCUUGUAAUUGUAGAUUCGACAUUUAUAUGCACGGUGGAUAUUAAACUGCGGGAAUAUGCCACUGAAAAAAUAUUUACUGUGGAGAACUGUAUCCCUUUCGGGAGUGGAUUAAAGCAAAACUUAUUGUCUCGUCAUUUUAACUUGCUUAUAUUUUUUUCUGUGUCUCUUCUCUAACAAUAAUUGUAUUUUUUUCUUAUAAUUGCAGAUUCGACGUAGAUUAAGAGGGAGCCACUGAAGAAGGAAACGGGGUGUUGCAAAGGAAAAUUUAUUUUUCUCAUAAUUUUUUUAAUUGUUUCUCUCUCUUCUAUGCCUUUUUUCUUUGUUAUAAUAAUAAUAUUUUAUUGCUCAACAGAUUAUGAUCCUUUUACAGCAAAAUGCAUACAAACAAUAUGGUAGCAAGCAAGUAAACAAAACAGAGUAAGAAAUAUAUCCAAACAUAAGUAUGAAUACAAACAAAAUUGGCUAAUGCAAAGGUAAAAGUUAAAAAAGAAAGCUAAAUGAGGGGAUUAUGAGUCGUUACAGUACGAGUGAUUCUGACUGCACGGUGGAUAGCAAACUAGAAGAGGACGCCACUGAAUGAUAUUGGCGCGGGUGGUAUAAAAUAAAAUUUAUUUUCCCUAUAAUUUUAACUUGCAUACAACUAUUUGUGCCGUUUCUCUUUCAGUAAUUGUAAUGUUUCCUAAUAAUUUCAGGUUCAACAUAUAAGCGCUAACAUCUCUGCGGAAAAGUUCACAGAAGAAAGAACUCCUCAGAAUAAGCUAUCAGGAAACUACUGCCUCCCAAAUUCCAAAAGAUUUAUGGAAAAUGGUACAAUAAGUAUAAUGGAUGCAAGAACCAAAAUGUACAUUUGAAGUGUGUACUCCACUGUCACUUUUUGUCCUGCGUCGCGUUUUACACUUUAGUCUCCGAAAAUCUUAAUUGUUUUUAACUUCUAUGUAACAUUUUGUCCUCUCUUUGGCAAUAAUUGGAAUGUUUUAUGGUUAGAUAUUUAUACCUGUUUAUUAUAUAGAUAUCAAUCUACGAAAAAAACGCCAAUGAAGAAAGACCGAUUAAGCAUUAGAUUUUUCAAAGGAAAACCAAUUUUUGUGAUAAAUAAUUACUCUCUCAUUUUUUUUAUAAAUGAACGAGAAAAGUACUAUGUAUACUUACCAUUGAAGUAUAUCAAAGACUAUUGUUUUUUCUUGAGCUUUUUGGUAUCGAAUCGUUUAUGCAGGCUUAUAGACGCUCUUUUACUCCUCUAUACAGGACCGGAUAUACAUAUUUUGCGCUCAUCCAAUUAAAAGCAUUUUAUACCCCAACCAAAAUUAUACUGUACUCUUUCCAGAAUACUAUUUUCUUUCUACUAAUUUGCUCAGAUUGAUUUGAUUUGUUGUAAAAAUAUUUUUCAUAUUAAUUAUGAGAUUUAUAAA